AAGGAAUCAAUGUUACUCGAGUUCUUCAAAGGGUUUUUGCAGAAAUUGUGCUUUUGCCAAAAAUGCAAGAUGGGAGUGAGAGUGUAUUUCUGUGAUGGUAGGCUGCAAAACUAGGGUUGCAAAUGACAGAAGAAAGGUUUUAUAUCAUCUGUUUAGCAUCACUUAAUCCAAUGGUAAGUUGGUUUAGUGUAAAUGAUUCAAUUUGCAUUUUUGCUAAUUGGUAUG
rnacentral:lncRNA from 1 species